AUCUCUAAAACUUCAGCCGCCGCC
rnacentral:siRNA from 1 species